rnacentral:rRNA from 1 species
UUUACGGGAGGCAGCAGUGAGGAAUAUUGGUCAAUGGAGGCAACUCUGAACCAGCCAUGCCGCGUGUAGGAAGACUGCCCUAUGGGUUGUAAACUACUUUUAUUUAGGAAGAAACCCAGAUACGUGUAUCUGGCUGACGGUACUAAAGGAAUAAGCACCGGCUAACUACGUGCCAGCAGCCGCGGUAAU